GUUCUUUGCUAACCUUGGAGAGAGUGCCUCAAAGAUCUUUGCAGAGCUUGAGGCUCAGGCCGCUUUCUGUGACUGUUACAUUGCACAGUGAUGUUGGCACAGUGGGACUUGUUUCUCAGGAGGCCAUAUUCACCAGCUGAACUGGCUACAGAUUUCUCCCGUUCCCGUAGAAGUCAAUACUUCAGUGUGGUCUUAUGACUGGCCAAAAAUGCACAAAGGGGAACGUGUUCAAGAAGAGUAGAUGCAAUUUACUCCUCGUCCGCUGUGUCUGUUUUUCUUGUCUGCAUUAGUGAACUGGAAUGUGUUGUGCGCUUAAUUGUUUCUCCAGAAAUGGGCUAGCUGAACCAUCAGAAACCCAGCUUUUGUUUUGAAAAUAUUAUUCAACGUCUUGAGAAGCACUGCCUUCAGAAGAUGACAUGUUUCUUCUGAGGAACAAUCCCUUUAAUUCAAGUGUCUUGCUUUCUUUCCAAAGAGACCACGGUGAUGGAAAAGGAGAAAGAGACACUCCAGGAAGGUCCGAGUGACAGUCUACCUGUUGCUGCGGGAGAAAAAGAACAAAAUGAAGCACAACGCCCACCAGUUGCCAAUAAUUGGAGUUGUUGCAUGUGCCACUGCAGCAGCUGAUAGCGCCUCUUUGAACCUUCUCCUCCUUCCCAGUGGAGACGCUCAGCUCUGGGGGAUGUGGGAAAUCAAUGUCUUUGACCUGCCACGUUCCAGUGUCGUGAGGAAAUGGGCUGUGCAAUUAUGUAAAUAAAAGUGAGACGAACUGUGGGUUGUUCUGUUGUUACUGGAGAAGUUGGGAGGGCUCGAAGAGCUGGAGCUGUCUCCCUGCUAGGGUACCCUGUGUGCUGGGUUGCCUGGGCACUGCGAGCAGCUUUCCUAGCCUUGCCCCUGGGAGAGCUGGCAGAAGGCUUUCUGCUUGAGCCAAAGCUGGACAAAGCCAAGGCUUGCUCUGAUUUGAGGGCAGGUUUCUCCUGUCUGUGCACACUGCAGCCUCCCUAGUGCGAGGCAGAGAAGGACGUGAUGGUGGUCAUGAGGUCUGGGCCAAGGGACUCCUUGUGAACUCUUCAG
rnacentral:lncRNA from 1 species